GCUGGGUGUGGUGGCGCAUGCCUGUAAUCCCAGCGGUUUAGGAGGCUGAGACAGGAGAAUCUCCAGUUCAAAGCCAGCCUCAG
rnacentral:sRNA from 1 species